GGGUGUGGCGCAGUUGGUAGCGCGCUACCUUGGGGUGGUAGAGGCCGGGUGUUCAAGUCACCUCACUCA
rnacentral:tRNA from 1 species